UUAUUUCUUGUUCACUACAAUGAGGAAAUUGAGAGAGUACAAGUCCUACACUGUCAUACAACACUGUUACAGUUAAUUGGUGGUUGUUCAGUGGGAACCUUCUCUCCUUCAUUAUGAGGAGAGGUGAGCGCCUAUCAGAUCCCCCUGCUGUCCUUCACCCCUUGGUGCAGUCUGCUGACUAUCGCUGGGGCCAGGAAGAAGUCCACCAGCCGAAAUAGGAGCCAAGUUCAUCGCCAUGCAAUGCUCUACUGACCGAGGUUGAAGGACCUCCCACCCUGACACCCUGCAGAUGUAAAGAACUUGUUGUGAACCUGCCAGCCACCAGGAUAAUCACCAUAUCCAAAUAGAUUAUUCAGGAGUGUGCAACAUCACAAUGUUGAAUAGAAAUAGAUUCACCCAUGUUAUUGUUUAUCAUGCAGAU
rnacentral:lncRNA from 8 species